UUGAUAUUUCAAAUAAUAUGUCGUCAAACUUUACAAAGUUUGACUGAAACUAUGUGCACAAGACAAUUUUGUGAGCCGGAGGAAGUACAUAGAGUCACACCGCGAAAUUGCUAUGUAAAACCGCUUUGAAGCAUUAUUUGAGCUAGUUGUGACAGAAAGACGGUAGAAUACAAAAUAGGUUUAUGUUUGAGAUGGUCGAGUUGGCUAUGUAUCGAACAUGAGUGUUUGACCUACAUUUGGGUUAUUCCGGUUCACACAUAUCACUGUAUUACUGUUUUUGUCUUGCUCGAAACUCUUAUGAUUUGACACUGUGUGACAAUCUACACUGGACAUGUUUCUCUACUACAACAUGUCGUAGAUAUCAACAAUCGAUCAAAUGUCAUGGAGAAACCAGGGAUUUCUAUGAAUUCUAUUGUUUUGAUUGUGCACAGAUGGAAGGACGGCUGAAAUAUGUAAUUGUGUGCCGCAAUAAUCAAUAAACCUUGUAGUAUCAAAUUGUAGAAUCAGCAUAUCUAUCAUUACACGUGCUAAUGUCACCUUUUUCGGUUGUGGAGUGGCUAAUAAACAGGCCGACCCCUUCGAGUGAAACAUAGAAGAAUAUUAUUGUUUACGUCUAUCCAUUUUCUAGUAAAAUGGGUUUAUAUCCAUAGUAGAUUCUUCCAUCAACAUGAGAGCGUCUAAAGGCCUUGUACAAUGCAGGGAGAUAUAAAUUAGUCUUCCUUUAUGCAUUGCUUGACUUGCCAUGAACCAUGGUACCGAGAGAGGUAUCAUUCAUCUUACUUUUACAUUUUACAUGCUAAUAUUACUAUUGUGCCAUGGUACCGAGAGAGGUAUCAUUCAUCUUACUUUUACUUGCCAUGAACCAUGUUACCGAGAGAGGUAUACCUGUAAUAUAUUGCACCGAAAGAGUGAUCUUCAUGUUUGGUAGCUUUGCUUGCUUUGCCGGAAUGUUGUUUCAUUUCCGUUCCGACAAAUUUUACGUGCUCCAUAUGUCCAAGUUUUAGUAAAUGUCAUGCCCAAAUUUUCUCUGUUUUAGGAAUUGUCGUCUGAUGACGGAUACGUUAUGUGCGAAUACUGCCAAGACAAGCGCGGCCUUUGCGACACGCCUUUCCUAGUUGAUGAUAGGCGCUUCAGCAUCAUGCUGGAUGAGGACUUCG
rnacentral:lncRNA from 1 species